AUGAACAAUAGCUGUAGGUAUAUGGAAUAGCAUUUGUCUUGUUGUAGACAUCUGGCGCCGCACUGUCUGCUUGUCUAGUUAAACAAUUGCUGAGUCUGGCGCCGCGGCUGUCUGCUUGCGUCUGGCGCCGUAUAGCCGUAUGUUCUGGAAAUUUCCAGACGCGAUAUUCUAGAAGGACACGUCGGCAUCAGCGAGAAGUGCGUGGCUAUAUAAGCCGUGGCAGCGCCAACGUAAUCAAUCAGUGCUAAGAGUAAACUGCUAUAGUGUAGACGAGUUGUGAAAUAAAGAGUUGUCGAAUUAAUUAAACAGUGUUGAUUUUAUUUGUCAAUCCAGAGAUACGAACCUAACAAAGUGAACUAGCAAAGAGUAAAUUCGUAACAAUAUAAUAUUUUAGGUUUUUAAUUCAAAAAUCAGUGUAAGCUAAAAUAUUUAACACGUUCUUUAAAUACAUAUAUCUUUCAAUUUAAUACAAUUAAAAGGUUUUGAAAACACAUAUAAACAAUUUGUAUUUCGUUGAAGCAAUUUAGAUAAAUCAUAUCAUAUUUUAAUAAAAAGUACUAGUGUACAAAGCAAUCCACACAUCACACAAAGCAAGAGAAUACGAACAUAUUGAACACAACGGGACAGUUACUUACGCCGCUAUAAACAAACAACUUGCUUUGAUGAGCUUAUUAUGAAAUUCGAUAGAAAAACACGAAGGCCAUCGCUAUAAACUUACUGCCGUCCCUAAAUAAAAGCGGUGACGGCAUCUUACAGUCAAAAAUUCGUGAUCUCCAUGGAUUUUAUAUGGUGAUUUUGACAGCGCGCUUCGAAGCAAUUUUUGUAAAUUUUCUUAAAAAUUUCUUGAAGCUCGAUGUUUAAUGUUUUUAAAAAUGACAGGCAUUUAAGAGAGAAUGAUGCGAAUAUUGGAAAACCAUUCAAAAACUCGCCGAACUAAUUUUCGCCGUCGGUCAAAUUCAAAAGAUCGUUAUAUAGUAUAGGCGAUAACAGUAAACGGAAGCGAGAACAAAUUUGAGUAGCACUUCGAGACAUUAUCGACAUAGAUCAGAAGAUCAUUAUAAACAUUUGAUUCGAAAGUUCUCAUACACAUUGAAAAUCAUGAACGUUGGCUGCGUUUAUGUACACAAUAUGGCGAAUGCCAUAAAUAUCGACAUAAGGAUAAUGACCAAGUGUUAAAUGGGGAUUUAUAUCAAAGAUAUCUGCCACAACCGUAAAUCAUAAUUAGCCAUUCCGGUUGCAGCAGAUUUUAUGAAUUAUGGUUUUCUAACUUACUCUCGAGAUUGAGUGAAAACUGAACAACAUUCACGAACUCCCCAAACUAAUUUUCGUCGUCAGUCAAAUUCAGAAGAUCGUUAUACGGGUAACAAUAGUAAUAAGGAGCGAGAACAGAAAAGUCGGGUGCGAAUAAGAAUUUCCUUGUUUUAAAAGUUAAAACUAAUUUAUCCAAAUAAUAUAUUUGUACCUUUAUUUAUAAAUAUUUAAGAUAAUAUGAAAAUAUAA